rnacentral:rRNA from 1 species
CACGUAAGGAGCGAGCGUUGUUCGGAAUUAUUGGGCGUAAAGGGCAUGUAGGCGGUUAAGUAAGUCUGAUGUGAAAGCGUACAGCUCAACUGUAUUGUUGCGUUGGAAACUGCUUAACUUGAAUCCGAGAGGGGUGUGUGGAAUUCCUAGUGUAGGGGUGAAAUCUGUUGAUAUUAGGAAGAACACCAGAGGCGAAGGCGACACACUGGCUCUGGAUUGACGCUGAGAUGCGAAAGCGUAGGUAGCGAAC